AAGUCGUAACAAGGUUUCCGUAGGUGAACCUGCGGAAGGAUCAUUACAUAUUAAGCAAAGCCGGGUACAAGAGCCACCGCUUCGGCGCAACUCUGUCAUGGUCGCGCGAAUAUUCACCCAUGUUUUUGCGUACUUCUUGUUUCCUUGGUGGGCUCGCCCGCCAUAGGACAACCAUUAAACCUUUUGUAAUUGCAGUCAGCGUCAGUAAAAUGUAAUCGUUACAACUUUCAACAACGGAUCUCUUGGUUCUGGCAUCGAUGAAGAACGCAGCGAAAUGCGAUAAGUAGUGUGAAUUGCAGAAUUCAGUGAAUCAUCGAAUCUUUGAACGCACAUUGCGCCCAUUGGUAUUCCAAUGGGCAUGCCUGUUCGAGCGUCAUUUGUACCCUCAAGCUUUGCUUGGUGUUGGGCGUUUGUCUUUCGAGACUCGCCUUAAAAAGAUUGGCAGCCGGCAUACUGGUUUCGGAGCGCAGCACAAAUUGCGGUCUGUUCCUGAAUGUUGACGUCCAUGAAGCCCCAUUAUCACCUUUGACCUCGGAUCAGGUAGGGAUACCCGCUGAACUUAAGCAUAUCGAUAAGCGGAGGAAAAGAAACUAACAAGGAUUCCCCUAGUAACUGCGAGUGAAGCGGGAAAAGCUCAAAUUUAAAAUCUGACAGUUGUUCUGGCUGUCCGAGUUGUAAUCUAAAGAAGUGUUUACCCGCGCUGGACCGUGUACAAGUCUCCUGGAAUGGAGCAUCAUAGAGGGUGAGAAUCCCGUCUUUGACAUGGACUACCAGGGCUUUGUGGUGCGCUCUCAAAGAGUCGAGUUGUUUGGGAAUGCAGCUCAAAAUGGGUGGUAAAUGCCAUCUAAAGCUAAAUAUUGGCGAGAGACCGAUAGCGAACAAGUACCGUGAGGGAAAGAUGAAAAGAACUUUGGAAAGAGAGUUAAACAGUACGUGAAAUUGCUGAAAGGGAAACGCUUGAAGUCAGUCGCAUCGACUGGAAAUCAACCUUGCUUUUGCUUGGUGUAUUUUCUGGCUUGAUGGGUCAGCAUCAAUUUUGGUCGCUGGAUAAAGGCUUGGGGAAUGUGGCAUCUUAGGAUGUGUUAUAGCCCUCGGUUGCAUACAGCGGUUGGGAUUGAGGAACUCAGCACGCCGCAAGGCCGGGUCGUUUUACGACCACGUUUACGUGCUUAGGAUGCUGGCAUAAUGGCUUUAAUCGACC
rnacentral:rRNA from 1 species